CGAGCGCAACCCUUGUCUUUAGUUGCUACGCAAGAGCACUCUAAAGAGACUGCCGGUGACAAACCGGAGGAAGGUGGGGAUGACGUCAAGUCCUCAUGGCCCUUAUGGGUAGGGCUUCACACGUCAUACAAUGGUGCAUACAGAGGGUUGCCAACCCGCGAGGGGGAGCUAAUCUCAGAAAAUGCAUCGUAGUCCGGAUCGUAGUCUGCAACUCGACUACGUGAAGCUGGAAUCGCUAGUAAUCGCGGAUCAGAAUGUCGCGGUGAAUACGUUCCCGGGUCUUGUACACACCGCCCGUCACACCAUGGGAGUGGGUUUUGCCAGAAGCCGUUAGCCUAACCGCAAGGAGGGCGACUGCCACGGCAGGGUUCAUGACUGGGGUGAAGUCGUAACAAGGUACC
rnacentral:rRNA from 1 species